GAUGAACGCUGGCGGCGUGCCUAAUACAUGCAAGUCGAGCGAAUGGAUUAAGAGCUUGCUCUUAUGAAGUUAGCGGCGGACGGGUGAGUAACACGUGGGUAACCUGCCCAUAAGACUGGGAUAACUCCGGGAAACCCGGGCUAAUACCGGAUAACAUUUUGAACCGAAUGGUUCGAAAUUGAAAGGCGGCUUCGGAUGUCACUUAUCGAUGGACCCGCGUCGCAUUAGCUAGUUGGUGAGGUAACGGCUCACCAAGGCAACGAUGCGUAGCCGACCUGUGAGGGUGAUCGGCCACACUGGGACUGAGACACGGCCCAGACUCCUACGGGAGGCAGCAGUAGGGAAUCUUCCGCAAUGGACGAAAGUCUGACGGAGCAACGCCGCGUGAGUGAUGAAGGCUUUCGGGUCGUAAAACUCUGUUGUCAGGGAAGAACAAGUGCUAGUUGAAUAAGCUGGCACCUUGACGGUACCUAACCAGAAAGCCACGGCUAACUACGUGCCAGCCGCCGCAGUAA
rnacentral:rRNA from 1 species